rfam:Caldibacillus debilis strain B4135 NODE_36, whole genome shotgun sequence.
AUAACGGCGACAUUUAUACCGUAGACAGUAGGUGCUUUUCAAAGCUUAAUAUCCUACCGAGGUAUAGGAUGAUCGAAAGCCUGUUUUGACGCGCUUGAAAUCAUGCUUGAACACCUCCAUGUCUACUGACUUGGAGGUUUUCUUUUGCCGGU